rnacentral:tRNA from 2 species
GGGUGGUUAGCUCAGUUGGUUAGAGCGCAGCGUUGACAUCGCUGAGGUCACUGGUUCGAAUCCAGUACCGCCCACCA